rnacentral:rRNA from 1 species
UACGUAGGGGGCAAGCGUUGUCCGGAAUCAUUGGGCGUAAAGCGCGUGUAGGCGGCUGAGUAAGUCUGCUCUGAAAGCCCGGGGCUCAACUCCGGAAUUGCCUUUAAGACUGCAUCGCUAGAAUUGUGGAGAGGUAAGUGGAAUUCCGAGUGUAGAGGUGAAAUUCGUAGAUAUUCGGAAGAACACCAGUGGCGAAGGCGACUUACUGGACACAUAUUGACGCUGAGGUGCGAAAGCGUGGGGAGCAAACAGG